UCGUCGCUCGGUGAAUCAUCGAAUCUUUGAACGCAUCUUGCACCUCCCAGGUCUCCUGGAAGGUAUACUUGUUUGAGUAUCAUGUACACUACUCCUCGCAGCGCUUUGCUUGCUGCCAGGGAAUUGAGAUGCCAAGUGUGCUCCUCCUCUAGGGCGGGGUGUGCCUGUGUCUUUUAAUGAACAUGCUGCGUGAGUCUGCACCCGCAAGGCGCGGCGCUGCAGGGACUACACACACUAAAUGUGAGAUAAACAUCGCACAGUCGCGUGUGUGUCUAUUGCGCGGCUACACUCCUCCCUCCUCCUCAUAUUGUGAUCUCAAAUCAAGUAAGACUACCCGCUGAACUUAAGCAUAUCAAUAAGCGGAGG
rnacentral:rRNA from 1 species